GUGAAAUUCCGGGGCUUAACUCCGGGCGUGCAGGCGAUACGGGCAUAACUUGAGUACUGUAGGGGUAACUGGAAUUCCUGGUGUAGCGGUGAAAUGCGCAGAUAUCAGGAGGAACACCGAUGGCGAAGGCAGGUUACUGGGCAGUUACUGACGCUGAGGAGCGAAAGCAUGGGUAGCGAACAGGAUUAGAUACCCUGGUAGUCCAUGCCGUAAACGGUGGGCGCUAGGUGUGAGGGUCUUUUCACGACUUUCG
rnacentral:rRNA from 1 species